AUCUUUGCGCCUGGGGCAAUGACGCAGUUAGUGAGGUAAACCCGAGACGCGUCAAUUGCUGCUUGAAAACUAUAGACAAAGGUAUAAAAAACCUUUACGCAUGAGUACAUCAUGAAAAUGAUUAGGAGAAUAUGUAUAUAUGAGGCCACGUCACCAAGGCAUUCUUAGUGUUAUUGAAAUUUUUGGCAAAAUUGUAUUU
rnacentral:snRNA from 1 species